CUCAUAAUGUCAGGAGUGGAAGGGUUGUAAAACCACAGGAGGCUGUUGGGGAGGACGGCUCAUAAUGUCAGGAGUGGAAGGGUUGUAAAACAGAAGGGAACUAUGUGUUUGAUACCAGUCACUUCACCACAUUCCUCCCAUCACUAUGAGCCCUUCCUCCCCAAUUAAUAAGGUGCCCCCAGUCGCAUGUGGUGUGGUACAAAAUACUAUAUGUACCGUGUUAGUGGUGUUAUAUAAAUACUAUAUGUACCGUGGCUGUGUAAUUAGUGAAUCAUUUGGAUAUACUGUAUGUAGUAGAAAAUACUAAUAGUACCGUGUUAGUGGUGAUAUAUAAAUACUAUAUGUACAAAUAAUUAAAAAAAAUAAUUGUAAGGAUAAUUAUCAGCUUUGGCUAGAAGAGCCACACUAAUGUCGGGAUUCAAUCCCAUGGUGCUUUGUCAACAACGCACCAUUUAAACCUUUCCGAUUGAACCAACAUGCAGCGAGGAAUGUGGUCUCCCCGACAGGUGCGGACUUUGCCUAUGAAUGACGUUAAUGGCGUUGUUGACGAAGCGCAGUCAGAUUGAAUCGGGGACUAACAGUGAUCUGGUUUAGUACAGGUGGACUUUAAUUAAAGGGGCAAUGCAGGAUUCAAAAGAACAACAAAGUGUUCUCCGUUAUCAUCCAAUCCCAGAUCAGGAUUAUUUAUUUAUUAGUUAUCAUUCGCUAAGAAGUCAAAAAACAGAUGUGGUCCGACCAAUCCCAGAUCAGGAUUAUUUACAUACAUAGUUUGUGAGGCACUAAUAUGGAUUUACAUAUUCCAUUACCAGGCACUUUUUAUCCACAUCAACUUUCAGUCAGUCAGUCAUUUUUACAUAUGGGGAGGCCCCAGGAAUCAAACCCACAAUCCUGGUGUUGUAAAUGCUCUACCAACUGAACCACAGAGGACAGGCUCUACCAACUGAGUCCACAGAGGACAGGUUCUACCAGCUGAGUCACAGAGGACAGGCUCUACCAACUGAGCCACAGAGGACAGGCUCUACCAACUGAGUUACAGAGGACAGGUUCUACCAACUGAGCCACAGAGGACAGGUUCUACCAACUGAGUCACAGAGGACAGGUUCUACCAACUGAGUCACAGAGGACAGGUUAUACCAACUGAACCCACAGAGGACAGGUUCUACCAACUGAGUCACAGAUGACAGGUUCUACCAACUGAGUUACAGAGGACAGGUUCUACCAACUGAACCACAGAGGACAGGUUCUACCAACUGAGUUACAGAGGACAGGCUCUACCAACUGAACCACAGAGGACAGGCUCUACCAACUGAGCCACAGAGGACAGGUUCUACCAACUGAGUCACAGAGGACAGGUUCUACCAACUGAGUUACAGAGGACAGGUUCUACCAACUGAGUCCACAGAGGACAGGUUCUACCAUAGAACUACAUUUUUAGAUAUGCUAAUAUCUCCUCUCACUUUUUCUUUCCCUCCCUCCAACUGUCUCCCCCUCUUUUUCUCUCCCUCUCUCCCACACCUCUCUCGGUCUCUUUCUCUCCCACUAUCCUCCCCUUUCUCUCUCCCUCUCUCCCACACCUCUCUCAGUCUCUUUCUCUCCCACUAUCCCCCCCUCUCUCCCCUCUCCCUCUCUCCCACACCUCUCUCGGUCUCUUUC
ensembl:lncRNA